rnacentral:rRNA from 1 species
CCCGCACAAGCGGUGGAGUAUGUGGUUUAAUUCGAUGCAACGCGAAGAACCUUACCUGGUCUUGACAUCCCGGAGACCCUUAGGAAACUAGGGGGUGCUUCCAUCUGGAAGAAUCUGGAGACAGGUGCUGCAUGGCUGUCGCCAGCUCGUGUCGUGAGAUGUUGGGUUAAGUCCCGCAACGAGCGCAACCCUUGCCUUUAGUUGCCAGCAGUUCGGCUGGGCACUCUAAAGGGACUGCCGGUGUUAAACCGGAGGAAGGUGGGGAUGACGUCAAGUCCUCAUGGCCUUUAUGACCAGGGCUACACACGUACUACAAUGGCCGAUACAAAGGGCAGCGACACUGCGAGGUGAAGCCAAUUCCGUAAAAUCGGUCUCAGUCCGGAUUGGAGUCUGCAACUCGACUCCAUGAAGUUGGAAUCGCUAGUAAUCGUGGAUCAGCAUGCCACGGUGAAUACGUUCCCGGGCCUU